rnacentral:rRNA from 1 species
GACGAACGCUGGCGGCGUGCUUAACACAUGCAAGUCGAGCGGUAAGGCCCUUCGGGUACACGAGCGGCGAACGGGUGAGUAACACGUGGGUGACCUGCCCUUAGCUCUGGGAUAAGCCUGGGAAACUGGGUCUAAUACCGGAUAUGACCUCAUGACGCAUGUUGUGGGGUGGAAAGCCUUGUGCGGCUAGGGAUGGGCCCGCGGCCUAUCAGCUUGUUGGUGGGGUGAUGGCCACCAAGGCGACGACGGGUAGCCGGCCUGAGAGGGCGACCGGCCACACUGGGACUGAGACACGGCCCAGACUCCUACGGGAGGCAGCAGUGGGGAAUCUUGCGCAAUGGGCGAAAGCCUGACGCAGCGACGCCGCGUGAGGGAUGACGGCCUCGGUGUAAC